AGACCAUGGCUCAGUGGUAGGUCACCUGCUUUGCAGACAGAAGGUUCCAAGUUCAACUCUUGGCAUCUCUA